GAUGAACGCUGGCGGCGUGCAUAAUACAUGCAAGUCGAGCGAACAGACGAGGAGCUUGCUCCUCUGACGUUAGCGGCGGACGGGUGAGUAACACGUGGAUAACCUACCUAUAAGACUGGGAUAACUUCGGGAAACCGGAGCUAAUACCGGAUAAUAUAUUGAACCGCAUGGUUCAAUAGUGAAAGACGGUUUUGCUGUCACUUAUAGAUGGAUCCGCGCCGCAUUAGCUAGUUGGUAAGGUAACGGCUUACCAAGGCGACGAUGCGUAGCCGACCUGAGAGGGUGAUCGGCCACACUGGAACUGAGACACGGUCCAGACUCCUACGGGAGGCAGCAGUAGGGAAUCUUCCGCAAUGGGCGAAAGCCUGACGGAGCAACGCCGCGUGAGUGAUGAAGGUCUUCGGAUCGUAAAACUCUGUUAUUAGGGAAGAACAAAUGUGUAAGUAACUAUGCACGUCUUGACGGUACCUAAUCAGAAAGCCACGGCUAACUACGUG
rnacentral:rRNA from 1 species